AACGAACGCUGGCGGCAGGCUUAACACAUGCAAGUCGAGCGCCCCGCAAGGGGAGCGGCAGACGGGUGAGUAACGCGUGGGAAUCUACCCAUCUCUACGGAAUAACGCAUGGAAACGUGUGCUAAUACCGUAUACGUCCUUCGGGAGAAAGGUUUAUCGGAGAUGGAUGAGCCCGCGUUGGAUUAGCUGGUUGGUGGGGUAAAGGCCUACCAAGGCGACGAUCCAUAGCUGGUCUGAGAGGAUGAUCAGCCACACUGGGACUGAGACACGGCCCAGACUCCUACGGGAGGCAGCAGUGGGGAAUAUUGGACAAUGGGCGCAAGCCUGAUCCAGCCAUGCCGCGUGAGUGAUGAAGGCCCUAGGGUUGUAAAGCUCUUUCACCGGUGAAGAUAAUGACGGUAACCGGAGAAGAAGCCCCGGCUAACUUCGUGCCAGCCGCCGCGGUAACAC
rnacentral:rRNA from 1 species